UACGAAGGGGGCUAGCGUUGCUCGGAAUCACUGGGCGUAAAGCGCACGUAGGCGGAUUGCUAAGUCAGGGGUGAAAUCCUGGAGCUCAACUCCAGAACUGCCUUUGAUACUGGCGAUCUUGAGUCCGGGAGAGGUGAGUGGAACUGCGAGUGUAGAGGUGAAAUUCGUAGAUAUUCGGAAGAACACCAGUGGCGAAGGCGAC
rnacentral:rRNA from 1 species